UACAGAGGUCUCAAGCGUUGUUCGGAUUCAUUGGGCGUAAAGGGUGCGUAGGUGGCGCUGUAAGUCAGGUGUGAAAUUUCGGAGCUUAACUCCGAAACUGCAUUUGAUACUGCGGUGCUCGAGGACUGGAGAGGAGACUGGAAUUUACGGUGUAGCAGUGAAAUGCGUAGAGAUCGUAAGGAAGACCAGUGGCGAAGGCGGGGUCUCUGGACAGUUCCUGACACUGAGGCACGAAGGCCAGGGGAGCAAACGGG
rnacentral:rRNA from 1 species